AUUGAACGCUAGCGGCAUGCUUUACACAUGCAAGUCGAACGGUAACAGGGUGCCUGCACCGCUGACGAGUGGCGAACGGGUGAGUAAUGCGUCGGAACGUGCCGAGUAGUGGGGGAUAACGCAGCGAAAGUUGUGCUAAUACCGCAUACGUACUGAGGUAGAAAGUGGGGGACCUUCGGGCCUCACGCUAUUCGAGCGGCCGACGUCUGAUUAGCUAGUAGGUGAGGUAAAGGCUCACCUAGGCGACGAUCAGUAGCGGGUCUGAGAGGAUGAUCCGCCACACUGGGACUGAGACACGGCCCAGACUCCUACGGGAGGCAGCAGUGGGGAAUUUUGGACAAUGGGCGAAAGCCUGAUCCAGCCAUGCCGCGUGUCUGAAGAAGGCCUUCGGGUUGUAAAGGACUUUUGUCGGGGAGGAAAUCCCCAGCGUUAAUACCGCUGGGGGAUGACAGUACCUGAAGAAUAAGCACCGGCUAACUACGUGCCAGCCGCCGCAGUAA
rnacentral:rRNA from 1 species